GAAAAAAAAAAAGAAAAAGAAAAUACGGAAAAGGAGAAAAAUCCAUCAAAACGCCUUCUUCUCCCUUCCUUGGUUUUCCAAUUUCGAUUG
rnacentral:ribozyme from 14 species